GCCGAGGUGGUGGAACUGGUAGACACGCUGUCUUGAGGGGGCAGUGGGCUAUGCUCGUGCGGGUUCGAGUCCCGCUCUCGGCACCA
rnacentral:tRNA from 3 species